rfam:Ixodes scapularis strain Wikel colony gcontig_1108379242290, whole genome shotgun sequence.
UUCUGGGAGGGUUGACAGAUCCAGAGCUCUUUCUUGAUUCUGUGGAUUUCGGUGCAUGUCCGUUCUUAGUUGUUAAAGUGGUUUGUCUGGUUAAUUCCGAUAACAAACGAGACUCUAGUCAAUCAAAUACGUGCGUGGUCCUCUGCACCUUGCACCCUUCUUAGAAGGAGAAGCGGCUCCUAUACUUCGUCUCUCCUUAUUAUAUAUAUAUGGACUACUGUUAGCCGCGCGUGCUCAAAGCGCGAGCUAGUCGCUUUGAAUGAAGUCACGGCGGCUACACGAGCGCUCGUGCAGCGAGUGCUCUAGUCAAGGCAGUCAAGGCUGGCCGCUCGCGCUAACACAGCCU